AUUGAACGCUGGCGGCAUGCUUUACACAUGCAAGUCGAACGGUAACAGGCCGCAAGGUGCUGACGAGUGGCGAACGGGUGAGUAAUGCAUCGGAACGUGCCCAGGCGUGGGGGAUAACGCAGCGAAAGCUGUGCUAAUACCGCAUACGAUCUAUGGAUGAAAGCGGGGGACCGUAAGGCCUCGCGCGAUUGGAGCGGCCGAUGUCAGAUUAGGUAGUGGGUGGGGUAAAGGCCUACCAAGCCGACGAACUGUAGCUGGUCUGAGAGGACGAACAGCCACACGGGGACUGAGACACGGCCCAGACUCCGACGGGAGGCAGCAGUGGGGAAUUUUGGACAAUGGGCGCAAGCCUGAUCCAGCAAUGCCGCGUGCAGGAAGAAGGCCUUCGGGUUGUAAACUGCUUUUGUACGGAACGAAACGGCCUGGGUUAAUACCCUGGGCUAAUGACGGUACCGUAAGAAUAAGCACCGGCUAACUACGUGCCAGCCGCCGCGGUAACAC
rnacentral:rRNA from 1 species